UUUAAGGACCACCUUGGACGAUUUGACUUGGAGCGUUGGAUUUCUUCAGUAGGGGCUCAAGCAUUGCAACCUCGACCUAGGUUAGGACCUCGUUGCUUGGAAAGCACACUUGUCUUGCGGUUAGGACUCGUCGAGUAAAUCUCCAGGUAGAGGCCGAGGUAGGGGCAAAGGCAAGCUGGCGGGCGACCAGAAGUGACCGUGGCGAGUCAUAGGGAUUUCUGCUUCCGCUUACCCCGUUUUAGACCUUUUGUACUUGAG